GGUGAGAUGGCCGAGUUGGUAUGUUCAUCAUCCAUUCCCACACCAAAACCUCGACUAACAGUCCUAGGUUAUGGCGCCAGGUUAAGGUCUACUUAACACUAUUUCCUGGUCACGUAUGUGGCGUGGGUUCGAGUCCCACUCUCAUCA